UUUUUUUUGUCUUAGAAUUUUAAUUUUAAUUUUAAUUAUUUUUAUCUACUUAUUUAUUUAUUUUAGUGCGCGGUUCUCCUGGGGAAGUCUGGUUGGCGGCGCCCAUCGGGGGGCUCGAUAUCUUUCCCCAGAGGAAGAUUUCUUUUGGCGCCAAACCAUCGGUAUAAGAGAUCGAUAACCUAGGUUUUUCCCGAGACCCUAAAUCUCCGAGCGUCGUUACCAAUUUCCUCUCUGUAAUCACUCUCGCUUCCCACGAUUUCCCAUCCAGACCUCGAUCGUGUCCGUUCCCGCGUCGCGGCCUGCUCUCCCGUUCCGACCUGGAAAAGUUUGAUCUUUUUGAAUCCCUUAGGGUUUAUGCGUUCGGUUUUUGAUCUCCAUGAAUAGUUGAGCAUGCAAAGUGAGAUGGGAGGAGAAGGUGAUUCUCCAGUUAUUAAGGCCAUCAAUAAGGCAGUGGUUCACAGGAUUUCUUCGGGUCAAGUGAUUUUGGAUCUUUCAUCUGCGGUCAAGGAGUUGGUGGAGAACAGUUUGGAUGCCGGUGCGACCAGCAUUGAGAUAAGUCUCAAGGAAUACGGUGAAGAACAUUUCAAAGUUAUAGAUAAUGGCUGCGGCAUCUCACCCAGUAAUUUUCAGGCCCUUGCUCUUAAGCAUCAUACAUCCAAAAUAGCAGAUUUUUCUGAUCUUCACACUUUGACAACAUUUGGCUUCAGAGGAGAGGCACUAAGUUCCCUUUGUGCAUUGGGGAAGUUGACUGUGGAAACAAGAACAAAAAAUGAGUUUGUUGGCACACAUUUGACAUUUGAUCAUUCAGGUUUAGUAACAAAUGAAAGGAAAACUGCACGCCAAGUUGGCACCACUGUGACUGUUGAGAAAUUAUUCUCCACUUUGCCUGUGCGAAGUAAGGAAUUUAGUCGCAACAUUCGGCGAGAAUAUGGAAAGCUUGUUUCUUUACUAAAUGCGUAUGCUAUAAUUGCAAGAGGAAUCCGAUUACUUUGCACGAACUCAACUAGCAGAAGUUCAAAAACUGUGGUGCUUAAAACUCAAGGAAGCAGUUCAAUAAAAGAUAAUAUCAUAACUGUCUUUGGUUUAAACACCUUCCAGUGCUUAGAGCCUUUGAGUUUAUGCAUAUCUGAAGGCUGCACCAUCGAGGGCUUUCUUUCCAAGCCAGGAUGUGGCAGUGGUCGUAAUUUGGGAGACAGGCAGUAUUUUUAUGUAAAUGGGAGACCUGUUGAUAUGCCAAAGGUCAGCAAACUUGUAAAUGAAUUAUAUAGACUCUCAAAUGCCAAGCAAUAUCCCAUUGCAAUCUUGAAUUUUAUUAUACCAACUACGUCUUAUGAUGUUAAUGUAACUCCUGAUAAGAGGAAAAUGUUUUUUUCUGAUGAGGACUCCCUUUUACGUUCUUUACGAGCAGCUAUAGAAAAGAUAUAUUCUCCUCAUCAGUGCAGUUAUUCUACCAACAAGAUUAAGGAGCCUGAGAAAGAGGCAGAUAUCAUUGACUCAUAUGUUUUUCAUAAUGAUGAGGAGCCCUUGGCAACACCUGAAUCUUCUAAAGGUGGUGGGCUUGUGGAAAUCGCGUCUUGUGAGGAAUUGGUUGUGGAUGAUUAUACACAAAAGACACCGCUAGUGCAGAGUCAGGACUUCCAUGAGAAAUUGGGAACUGUUCAAGGUGGCAGAAACUCUCAACCAAAGGAAUUUACUCUUAAUGCCUGUGAGAUCAACAAAUCUGAUAGUCUUUCUGCCUACCAGUAUAAGCAGUCUAGUAGCUCUGCCAAAUCAACUGCAAAAAUUGAUGGAAAGAGUGCAAAUCACCCAAGAAUAAUGAAGAGCGACAAAAUUUCUCAUUCAAAUCUUGUACAAUCUUCUCUUACAAGCUUUGUGGCUCUAAGUAAGAGGAAGCAUGAAAAUAGAUGCAGUGUGUUGUCUGAAAUGCCUGUUCUGAGAAACGAAAAUAUUUCCUGUCAAGUCAGAAAAAUAAGUUCAGAAAUGCAUGCUUCAGUCUCAAGAUCCCAUAUGUGUAAUGUUCAAGGGGAUAAUUCUCCUGAAGCCAGCACAGAAACAUUAGAGGAGUACCAUGUAUCAGCGAAUAUCUCCAGCAGAGAGGAGAUUUCCCUUUCUGGUAAAUAUGAUAUGUGUGACGGAGGAUCUAGCGGGAAUUCAGGAUUACAGGAUAAUCCAUUGCUUGCUUGGGCAAACUCGGAAUAUUCACCUGACAAAGAUUUGGAAAUAAAGUCAGCAAAACUCUCAGGCGAUCCUUCAGAGCUUGAAUCACAAUACAAUAUUAAUGACACUUUAAAACCUUGUUCCCUCAUGACUACAUCUUCAUAUUUGCAAUUUAAUAUCAGUGAUCUUAGAAGAAGAAGGCAACAGAGGCUCUCAAGAUUAUGUUCAAACAAUUCAUCAGAUGAUGGAAAAAGGAUUGCAAGGUGUUAUACCGCUGCAACACUUGCGAAUUCUCAACCAGAAAAUGAUGAGGGAAAAGCAUGCUCUUUAGCGGCAGCUAUUGUUGAGUUGGAGAGAUUUUUCAGAAAAGAAGAUUUUGGACGUAUGGAGGUUGUUGGGCAGUUCAAUCUUGGAUUUAUUAUUGGAAAGUUAGAUGAUGACUUAUUUAUUGUAGAUCAGCAUGCUGCAGAUGAAAAAUGUAAUUUCGAGCAACUCUCACAAUCAACCACCUUGAACCUACAGCCCCUACUUCAGCCAAUGAGGUUGGAAUUAUCACCAGAAGAGGAAGUAGUAGCUUCUAUGCACAUGGAAGUAAUCAGGGGAAAUGGUUUUGUGUUGAUGGAGGAUGCUCAUGCCCCACCUGGCCAUCGAUUUCUACUGAAGGCUGUGCCAUUCAGUAAAAACAUAACAUUUGGAGCUGAAGACGUGAAGGAUCUUAUUUGUACCCUUGCUGAUAGUCAAGAAGAUUGCUCGAUAAUUGGCAGUUACAAAAUGGACACUUCUGAUUCUAUAUGUCCAUCAAGAGUCCGUGCUAUGUUGGCUUCACGGGCUUGCCGGACAUCUGUUAUGAUUGGUGAUCCACUGACAAGAAAAGAGAUGCAGCGGAUACUUCAUAAUUUGGCGGACCUCAAGUCCCCCUGGAAUUGUCCACAUGGUAGGCCAACCAUGCGUCACCUUGCAGACUUGAUCAGUAUUCACAAUGCAAGGAUGAACAGAGGACCUAAUAUGAGAAUCCCUCUCCCACGGGAGUAGAGCUGAACCAAUUUCCAUGUAUCAAGAGGUAACCUUAAGACUGGGCGGAUCUCCAUUUCUCCCCUGUGACGAUUAAAAGCGGACUGAUUUCUCAUCUGUUUUUCACCCCUGUAGACACUCGUGGUUUUUGUUGCCUUGUAUUCAAGAUUUGUGAUCUUGUUGGAGGUGAUGUUGAUGCUUUAUUGUAUCUGUAUCAGCAUUAUUAAUUGAAACAGAAAAAAAGUUUUGUUUUUUUUUUUAAAAAAAAAGGGAAAUGAAGUUGAAUUGAUUGCCACAUAUACUAUGGGAACCAUUAGCCUCUGUGCAAUCCCGGCAUGACACUCUCAGGAAAGCUUUUAAGGUGCAACACAAGCAGCACAGCAUUCCUAUUGUUCAUGAAUAAUUUAGGAAGUAGAAUGCUGUCUUUGUUUAAAGUUUUGUCGCCUCAUUAGUCAGCGCAGUUCAUCAUUUCCGUGCCUCUAAUACACACUUUUUGUCUUUGGUGGGGGAGUGGGGGACACUGUGGUGGUUACUGCUCCCGUAGAUCAAGUUGUAUAUAUUCCUUUUGAAAGGUGAUCUAUUCCAGUUUUUCAGUAAAAUUUUAUAUAGUUGGCUUACUUGAUGGAGAGAAUGCGACUCCAGUGACUCAGACAAGUCAAGGCGGACUUGGACCAUGUGAAAAAUUAUUCUUGUUGCAAGACAAUGGGCUUCUGUUAUUUCUCUUGUACUGUACAUGAGAAUAUCGAAGCCUCAAACAUUCUAAAUCUCAGAGUCCUCAAGGAUAUCUGAGAAAUGGAAGUGUUCAAAAAUCUUUUUGUGAAUAGAUCGAUUGGGAGG